GUGCUCACUUCAGCAGCACAUAUACCAAAACUGGAACAUUACAGGGAAGAUUAGCGUGGCCUCUGCGCAAGGAUGACAUGCAAAUUCAUGAAGGGUUCCAUGUUUUU
ensembl:snRNA U6 U6 spliceosomal RNA